CCUACCGGAAAAGAGAAGUACGUUUCGUAAGUCACAGACGCCUCACCUAACUCCGAGCUCUUCCCCUUGAUGCAUCCCGCGCCGAGCGGGAACCGCGACAGCUACGUCCCAACGGGCAUUCGCAAAGCGCUCACCUAGUCCCGGCUCGUUCGACAAAACUAAGCUUCGGCUUGCCUCCGAAGGAAAACCCGGAGCCUCCCACCGCCGCAGAGGCGCCCCGGGCCGGCGGGGGGCAGCUCCCGGGGCGGGGGUCCCAACGCCUCCCUCACACCGCGGCCCGGCCGAGGCUUCCCGCGGCUGCGCCAGCACCGCCCGCAGACCUCGGGGUAGGGAGCGUCGCCGGGCGGGCGCGGGGGAGAAGCGAGCACAGCCGCCAGAGGUGAGGGGCGGGAGGGACGGACGGGUGGACCGAGGGGCCGCAGCUCAACUCGCCGAGCGGGAGCCCGGCGUUUUAAUCCCAUCGCCGUUAGGCAGGAUUAAGAGUUCUUGCUUACUUGAGCUAGUUUACCAAGCUUUUGCUUCACUUACAAAACUGAAGUUUUUUCGACCAGCGAGCGGCUUUCGCUUCAAAAACUGGAAGUUCACUUAUUACAUCUGCCUGAAGGAGAACAGUCAGUACCUCCAUGUCAGCCGGCUGGCCACCACGACGGCAGAAGGAGGAGGCCGAGCCCUGGGGAGACCCCACUGCAAAUACACGUACCCCGAGCCGGCCACUCUCACACCGCCCGCUGCACAGCUCACCUCCCCCCUUCCCCACGUCCAAAAAACCCGCCACCCCCUCAAACCCACAGGGCGAAGCAGGCACGAGUGCACCAGCAGGAAAGGGCGCUCCGAAGCAGGGCGGUAGUUGAGACCAUGCCAUGAGAUCCCUCAAGCGUGUCAUGUCUGAAAGCCAUUGCUCUUGGGACCAUGUGGUGACAAAAAUCUCACUUUUCUUCAAAGCAAGGUGCAGUUUUAGCUCUUCUAAGUGGGAAGACCAGCCUGGAAGAUUUAGAGAAUCCAGGCAGAGAGCAGGUGAACAGAAACUGUAAUUAUUACUAGAACCAGGAAUUGCUACGGCUCUCAUCAUCUCUGCUGUCAUAUUAACAUUGCUUAACUUGUACACAGUGAUUAAUGCGAUUUUGUUUUUAACCGAACACAUUUUGGAGGCUCAAUAUUUCCACGUAUGCAAGGAAGGGAGGCCCACUGCCAAGGCGGCUGUGUCUGGUGAUGCCAUGGUGAGGAAAGGGAAGGAGCGGUGGACGACUGGGACGUUUCCCCUCACCGCAACGUGCACAGGGGCAGACUGGCAGGCAGAAAGGCGACGAUUCGGGAGCCACCCAGCAUCCUGCCCCAGGAGUGGCGACCUGCCCACAGGGUGGAGUGGCAGCCGGGCUCUUCACCCAGCUUCAGUGGCGGCUCUGUGUGAGUCACGGACCCGUAGCAAUUUUAGCAGCAACUGCAGUUUGCCUUCAACUGCGAUUUUCCCAAUAUUGGCACUUGGGUUUUUUAUUUCUGAACCCUGCACUUAAAAGGUGUGGAGUCUUUCACAUGGUGGAUGUUUCAACAUAACAGAUUACUUCUGUUUUGGUGCUCUCGCUUGGGAGCUACAUUAAGCCAUGCGGUGUGCCUCAGGCUCGCUUUCCUCAGAGGAAAUGUGUCGGCUACCUCCUGAAGCCCAAGUAAGCCCCUAGUGACUCUCAGCCUCUCCUCAGAGGUUUGAGCACUGACCUCCAAAACUGUGUGCCCAGCAUACUGACCUCCACCAUUCCUUGCUACCGAACGUGUAACUCAACCUACAAUUACUUUUCCUUCAGCAAAGCAGCAAAGGGACAUGGAGAAACCAGGAGAGAAACUGGGUAUUUUUAUUGCUUAGGAGAUCUGGCUCAGCAACAAAUUGCAGCGCAAAGCCCUUUUGUAACACGCACGAAGGUCUUGCUGCUCCUCUUCCUCAGUGAGAAAGAGCAGAGUGAGCUCUGCUGUGAUAUUCUGACUGUGAAAUUUUAACUUGGCAAUAUUAGAGCGUGGGUAAGCAGCUGGGAUUUCAGACUGUCCGGUAUCCCACUGAUUUCAUCAGCUCCCAUCUCCAUCCAUCUGUUAUCCCUGGUCGUGUACUUGUGCAGGCUCCCUGGGACAGGGGCUGUCAGUUCUCUGCAUGGCUGUGCAGCGCCCAGCUGUGCAGUGCCCAGCUUUCCCACCGCGGCACAAGCAGCUGCCUCCCUGCAGGCGGGCGGGAGCAGGCGCUGCUGCAGGCCCCUGCCACGGGGGUCAAGAAGUGACACUUCACAAGUUCUAGUGUUGGGAAGUAGUAGUAAAAAAAAAAAAAAAAAAGGUGUACUUUUAUUUCUUGAUUAUAAGGUCAAUUCAUUACAGUUAAUUUAUCUAUUUGGUUUUUGGUUUGUGAAAUAUGAAGCCUGUUAGUUAACCUCUCUGCCUGUUUUAAAGAUUAGAAUGCAGUUCAUCACAACUUUAAUAUUGGUGCAACAGCCAAAAGUUUGUCAAUUGCCCAUUGAAUCAUGUGUCAUUCACACUUAAAAAGCAACAAAACUAAACAGGCUCUCAGCCCUCGCAGAGGCCUGAGUAAACAGACGGGCCUUGCUACAUGCCCUGCUAAUGGUUUCACAAGGGUUAAUGUAACAGUGCUUCUGUCUUAACUACACAGAUGCUUCCCCACGUUGCAGGCAGGAAAGCAAAUGUCUCUCGCUGUUGGUGUUUGGAGCAUUCAUCUGCUGUCAUCCUUCUCUGUCACGGGUCUUGGGCCAGUCCCUGUGUCUGGUUUGGAUAAGAUGAGCACCGUGUUUUGUGAGUAAGGCAUGCAGAUCUGGUCACUUGCUAGCAGAGUGCCAACCUGAUAAAUCCAUUAUUCAUUGAUAGUAUGUUUUGUAAUUUGCAAAAUGACAAAUCUUUUUUUUUUUUUUUUUAAGCAGGAUGAUAUUGCAGUGACACUCUGUUCUUUUAUUACAUUAUGUCCCCCAACACCAGCUGCUUUACAGCCUGCUCUGGACAAACAAAAUGGGGCUGCCAGGGGAAGGCGGCAUGUCUCCAGUUUCUCAAAGGGAUUCAUAGCCAAGUUCCUUACCUGAGCUACUCUCUCCCAGCCCAAAUUGCAAGUGUUCUUUUGAGUUGUUUUUUCCGCAUGAUUGUGUCAUCUCAAUCUCAUCUUCAUUUGAGAUUAGAUUAACUACUAGUCAAUUGGCAUGAUGCAGUUAGAAGUUCUGUUUGAAGAACAAGGUGUUUUUGUUAAAAAAAUACUCAUUGCCAAAAGAAAUUU